UGGGGAAUUUUGGACAAUGGGCGCAAGCCUGAUCCAGCCAUGCCGCGUGCGGGAAGAAGGCCUUCGGGUUGUAAACCGCUUUUGUCAGGGAAGAAAUCUUCUGAGUUAAUACCUCGGGAGGAUGACGGUACCUGAAGAAUAAGCACCGGCUAACUACGUGCCAGCAGCCGCGGUAAUACGUAGGGUGCAAGCGUUAAUCGGAAUUACUGGGCGUAAAGCGUGCGCAGGCGGUUUUGUAAGACAGAGGUGAAAUCCCCGGGCUCAACCUGGGAACUGCCUUUGUGACUGCAAGGCUUGAGUGCGGCAGAGGGGGGAUGGAAUUCCGCGUGUAGCAGUGAAAUGCGUAGAUAUGCGGAGGAACACCGAUGGCGGAGGCAAUCCCCCGGGCCUGCACUGACGCUCAUGCACGAAAGCGU
rnacentral:rRNA from 1 species